rnacentral:rRNA from 1 species
CAAGUCGAACGCGAAAGGGGCUUCGGCCCUGAGUAGAGUGGCGAACGGGUGAGUAACACGUGGGUGACCUACCUUCGAGUGGGGGAUAACGUCCCGAAAGGGACGCUAAUACCGCAUCACAUCCUGCCUUUGAAGAGGCGGAGAUCAAAGCCGGGGAUCGCAAGACCUGGCGCUUGAAGAGGGGCCCGCGUCCGAUUAGCUAGUUGGUGAGGUAAUGGCUCACCAAGGCAACGAUCGGUAGCCGGCCUGAGAGGGCGGACGGCCACACUGGGACUGAGACACGGCCCAGACUCCUACGGGAGGCAGCAGUGGGGAAUUGUUCACAAUGGGCGCAAGCCUGAUGACGCAACGCCGCGUGGAGGAUGAAGGUCUUCGGAUUGUAAACUCCUGUUGCCCGGGACGAAAAGCUCUGACCUAACACGUCAGAGUCUGACGGUACCGGGUGAGGAAGCCCCGGCUAACUCUGUGCCAGCAGCCGCGGUAAUACAGAGGGGGCAAGCGUUGUUCGGAAUUACUGGGCGUAAAGGGCGCGUAGGCGGCGUGCUAANUCNAACGUGAAAUCCCCGGGCUCAACCCGGGAACUGCGUCCNANACUGGCAGGCUUGAAUCCGGGAGAGGGAUGUGNAAUUCC